UACGUAGGGGGCGAGCGUUGUCCGGAUUUAUUGGGCGUAAAGCGCCCGCAGGCGGUCGCGUCAGUUUGGGGUGACAGCUCCUGGCUUAACCGGGAGAGGACCUCGAAGACGGCGUGACUUGAGGGCCAGAGAGGGACAUGGAACUCCGGGUGGAGUGGUGAAAUGCGUAGAGAUCCGGAAGAACACCAAAGGCGAAGGCAGUGUCCUGGCUGGCACCUGACGCUCAGGGGCGAAAGCGAGGGGAGCGAACGG
rnacentral:rRNA from 1 species